rnacentral:rRNA from 1 species
AUUUCCCUUGAUUUUUUAAAAGCUAAGCGGUAAAGAUGACCCGGUCCAUUAGUAGUGGUAGGUAAGGCUCCCAAGCGACGAUGGUAGCCGCCUGAGAGGUGAUCGCCACAUUGGAAUGAGACAGGUCCAGAUUCUACGGGAGCAGCAGUGGGAAUAUUGCACAAUGGAGAAACUCUGAUGCAGCAACGCCGCGUGAAUGAUGAAGGCUUUCGGGUCGUAAAAGUCUGUCCUCAAGGAAGAUAAUGACGGUACCUGAGGAGGAAGCCCCGGCUAACUACGUGCCAGCAGCCGCGGUAAUACGUAGGGGGCUAGCGUUGUCCGGAUUUAUUGGGCGUAAAGGGUGCGUAGGCGGUUUUUAAGUCAGAUGUGAAAGAUCACGGCUCAACCGUGGUAAGCUUUUGAAACUGAAAAACUUGAGUUCAGGAGAGGAAAGUGGAAUUCCUAGUGUAGCGGUGAAAUGCGUAGAUAUUAGGAGGAACACCAGUUGCGAAGGCGGCUUUCUGGACUUAUACUGACACUGAGGCACGAAAGCGUGGGGAGCGAACAGGAUUAGAUACCCUGGUAGUUCACGCCGUAAACGAUGAGUUCUAGGUGUUGGGGGUUACCCCCCUGUUCCGCGCAGCAAGCACAAUAAAUUCUCCUCCGCGAGAGUAUACUCCAGAGAGGAACUCAAAAGGAAUUGACAGGGGAGCCGCACACAGCGUAGGAGCGCAUGGUUUAAUUUGAAGGAACGCGAAGAGACACUUACCUUAACUUGACAUUCCUUUUGCCGUCUUACUGAUAGCAUUUUUCCUUUGGGGGCCAGGGGUGACAGGUGGUGCAUGGUGUUGUUCAGUUGGUUUCUUGAGAUGUUGGGUUAAUUCCCGCAAGGAGCGCAACCUUUCCCUUUAGUUGCCACCAUUAAGUUGAGCACUCUAGAGGGACUGCCGGGGAUAACUUGGAGGAAGGUGGGGAUGACGUCAAAUCAUCAUGCCCUUUAUGUCUAGGGCUACACACGUGCUACAAUGGUUGGUACAAAGAGCAGCCAAGUCGCGAGGAGGAGCUAAUCUCUUAAAGCCAAUCCCAGUUCGGAUUGUAGGCUGAAACUCGCCUACAUGAAGCCGGAGUUUCUAGUAAUCGUCAGAUC